rfam:Coniophora puteana RWD-64-598 SS2 unplaced genomic scaffold CONPTscaffold_10, whole genome shotgun sequence.
UCCCGCUUAGCUCAGCUGGUAGAGCGCGUCACUAGUAAUGACGAGGUCAGUCGUUCAAGUCGGCUAGUGGGAA